AAUCUGGCUGCUAUAUCUGUCACCUCAUUAAUCUCCAAGGUUGAUUUGGCUAAUCUGGCUGGCUAAGCAGGUGUACUGUGUAUAUUCCCUCCAAAGCUGCACUUGGUUGAAGUGUAAAUCCUCCCCUAAAAGAGAAAGACCAUUCUUUCAUCAAGAGGAUACAAGUAUCUGCCCCUCCCCCCUGCUAGAACCUCCAAAAGAGUUUCCAAGGCUUUCUCAGUGCACCCAGCAAUUUAAUCCCUGAUAGGCCUCAGGAAGGUAUUUAUGAAGAAAUAAUAGGUGUCC
rnacentral:snRNA from 1 species